GAGCAGUUAGCUCAGUCGGUAGAGCAUCUGACUUUUAAUCUUAGGGUCGCGGGUUCAAGUCCCUCAUCGGGCG
rnacentral:tRNA from 1 species